rnacentral:rRNA from 1 species
UACGUAGGGGGCGAGCGUUGUCCGGAUUUAUUGGGCGUAAAGAGCGUGUAGGCGGCCAGGUAGGUCUGCUGUGAAAACUCGAGGCUCAACCUCGAGACGUCGGCGGAAACCAUCUGGCUAGAGUCCGGGAGAGGAGAGUGGAAUUCCUGGUGUAGCGGUGAAAUGCGCAGAUAUCAGGAGGAACACCGGUGGCGAAGGCGGGUCUCUGGGCCGAUACUGACGCUGAGGAGCGAAAGCGUGGGGAGCGAACAGG